CGUCCGCAUCACGUUGGAACACCGGUUCCCGUAAAAUCACCGAAGUUAAGUAACGUUGAAUCUAGUUAGUACCUAGAUGGAUAACCUCAUGGGAAUACCUGGUGCUGUAA